rnacentral:lncRNA from 1 species
CUUAAGGAUGUUCGCUACUCUGUCUAAAAAUAACAAACUUUUUAAAAGACUGUUAUAAAUUGAAAGUAUAUGAAUAAAGAAACUUAAAAAGCAGAAAAAAAUGGAGGGUCUGUGUGCUUGUUUUCGAGAUAUAAGCCGUUGAAAAUUUGGCCGGAAAUAAUUCUCUCUAGAUUUUUCUUUCACUGAACAUUGGCAUUUUUUUUGUUAAAAAAACUAUGAAAAAAUAACAAGGAUUUCAUAAGAUUUUGAAAUAUGGCUUUUUAAAUAAUAUGCAAUAAAAAUAUGAAAAGAAAAGUACGGGUUAGUGGGCCAAUUUUGUAAUGUUAAUACAUUGAUAAAAUCAGAGGAUUCCGAAAAUCUGGCAACAAUUCAAAAAGUAGAGGAGCAAACAUCCUUAAUUAAAAUACUG